ensembl:lncRNA
AUGGCGGAAGAGCACUUAGUUUGCAGCACUUCGACCUCGGCACGCAGUAAUCCCAUCAGGGGAGGACCCCAUGUAUGGCCACUUGGGGUUCAGCCAGAGACCACUGUCCAUACAGGUGAAGCCUGCAUGCUCCCGAACCAUCAGCUUCUCAUAUGCUCCUCUGGCUUGUGCUUCAUGUGUGCAUCCAUAACUGUACACAGUACACAUGCAACACAUGAAGCAGAAAUUAUUACUUUGUAUUGCACGUGUAGAGCAAGUUCAGUGAUUUAAAUGCCAUUAACCUAACCCCUAUACUUAGUUCUAAUCCUGCAUAACCCUAGUCUUAUAACCCUAUAACUAAUGUUGAUCUUUCAGGGCUGUCCAUACCAUGACUCAACUAUGAAAACAGUAAACAUUUGCUCAUAUCCCAAAUCUUACCUUUGCCUUACCCUAAUUCAAACCCUAAAUACCUUGUAGCGGCUGUGGUGAACCUAUAUGCUUCUGGGUAGCAUAUGCCCUUGAUCAAGUUCUUGGAUGGUUGCUGGGGGUUGGUCUUAAGAACUUGUUUCAGCUUUGAGGCCGUUACACGUCCUGCUCUUUGCCUAAACCAAACCCUGCUUGCACUCUGACUUCGAGUUGCCCUCUCUACAGCCUGAACCUGAGACAGGGUGAGCUCUUCUAGCUGGAAAUCCUGGCAUAGCUCUCCAAGCUCUUUGGGGGAAGCUGCAGAGUCUCUGGUGUUCUGUAUUCAAGAACAGUUUUAGGAAGCAUGCAAGAUUUGGGGAUGAAUUCUUUGUGGUAAGGCUCCCUAGCCAUCAGUGCUGCACUCCUUGGACAGUUUUUGCUUCAUGUCUCAAAAAACCUAGCAUAUGUUUCUGACCCUCUCUUCACUCUUGGGCAUGGAAGUGAUUUCCCAACCUUGUUGUCAGUUGUCCUGCCAUCCAUGGAACGGUCAAGCUUUGAACUAUCCCUUUGAUUUAUUAACAUCAUAAUUUAGCCUACUGUUAAACAGUGUCCCAAAAUAACAUUCUCUAUCCCACAUUUGGUUUGCUGUGAACGUGUCACCUUACCUUUUUUACAUGUGAUAGGAUCAGCCACUUGCACUGCUCUGUUUUGCAGGAAGCUGAAUCUUGCAUCUUAACCCCAACUUCAAUGGAAAAAAGAACUGCCCCUACAUGAGAACACGAUUCUGAUAGUCUGUGAACAGAAUACAAUAUGACUUUUUUUUAAACCUCAAAUGCAAUCUGCACAAGUGGCAAAGAGCCAUAUAUAUCAGAACAUUUUGAUGAUGUGCAAUAUAGCCUACUUAUACUAAUAUGGAUGGAGUAGCACUUUACAUUAAUCAACAUGUUUAUUCCUUAAAGCUCUCUCUCCGCUGGUUCUGAAGUACACAGUAUGCUAGCAGUACGGUGUGUGUGUGUGUGUGUGUGUGUGUGCAAUGACUUCUCCAUCCUCCUUCGCAAUAAUCCAGGUCUUCAGAGGUGUUUCGCUUGACCUCUGAGAGUGUUUACCUUGGAACAAAGACGACUGUCAGACCAACGUCGUCGUUAAGAUGUGUUGCGUUACUGCUAGCAUCUUAGCACAUAAAACAAUAUAAGAACAAACACUCACUCUGGCGAAGACCAAACGAUGAUCAUCGUGGAGCCGUUUGACACCGAGGUUGUGGACUCACCCGUUGACAAAAAAGUUGUAUGCCUCCAGACUUUUAUAGGCCUUCAUUUGCUGUCUGGUGUGUACGAUGUCUGAAGGACCAGAUAGUUGGUGAUGUCAAUAGCCUCAACUGUCGGUAAAUCUUUCAGUUCUACUGAAAACUCACUCAUCUUCAUGAGGUACGGGUCACGUCCAACAUAUCUGUUAAUUAACUCCUUAUAUCUAUGUCUUGAAAUGCUGUCGUGUGACGUCAGAAUAAAUUUACUCAGCUCCUCCCCGCCUACUCUACU